UGAGUAACACGUAUCCAACCUGCCGUCUACUCUUGGACAGCCUUCUGAAAGGAAGAUUAAUACAAGAUGGCAUCAUGAGUCCACAUGUUCACAUGAUUAAAGGUAUUCCGGUAGACGAUAGGCAUGCGUUCCAUUAGGCAGUUGGCGGGGUAACGGCCCACCAAACCGACGAUGGAUAGGGGUUCUGAGAGGAAGGUCCCCCACAUUGGAACUGAGACACGGUCCAA
rnacentral:rRNA from 1 species